GGGAUGAGUGUGUAACAUACCGGAUUUUGAUAUAAAAGUAAAAAUAAAUAAAAAUAGUGUGAGAUACUAUUUUUAUUGGAUUUAGAGAAGCAAAAUAUAAAUUAGAAAUGAUUUGUGCUGAAAUCGAAAUAAAAACAGAAAAUUUAGAAUUUUCUGUGAGAGACGGGGCUGAUAUUUUAGUAGAAAAUGUACCAUGUCAAAAAAUUAUGAAAAUUGGAGAAUAUGUUAGAAAUAUUUUUGUGAGGCUAAAUUUAAAGUUUCAUGACAUUCUGACACCCGGAAGGUGGAAAAUAAAAUCCGACUGCUAUCUGCUAGAGAUUACAGUUCGGUAGAGCUUUCGGUGACCAAAUGUGGUCGAAACUGAAAGAUUAAAAUUUCUUUCGUUAAGUUAAGUAAAACCGGGUCUGA
rnacentral:lncRNA from 1 species